UACGAGUGCCCCGAGCGUUAUCCGGAAUCAUUGGGCGUAAAGGGUGUGUAGGUGGCAGUGUUAGUCUAUUGUUAAAACCUGGGGCUUAACCCCAGAUGUGCGAUAGAUACGGCACAGCUAGAGGAUGGCAGGGAUGUAUGGAACUCAUGGAGUAGGGGUGAAAUCCGUUGAUAUCAUGGGGAACACCAAAAGCGAAGGCAGUACAUUGGGCCACUCCUGACACUGAAACACGAAAGCGUGGGUAGCGAAUGGG
rnacentral:rRNA from 1 species